UAAUUACCGAAGCACGUCGUCCUCCGAGGGCAACUGGGAAAGCCUCUCGACUCAGUCACCUUCGCCUGCCUGCCUCAACCAAAUCCCACUCUCCUGCCGCAAUCACAUUUUCCAUCCUCGCCCAAUUCUCCAUUCUCCUCUGCUGAUAAAACUCUUGCCCCCGAUCGGCGAGGAGGAGGAAUGGGUGACGGAGCGAGCAGCAGCUGAGGCAUUCGAGGAGGUGGAAAGGAGAUAUCGAAAGAAAGAGGAGCGACAGGCGAGACGGUGCUGAUCGAUGAUGGCUGGAGACGGAACUCCUGCGGAUACUGCAGAUCCACAUUCGCUUCUAGCGUCUCCCACGGUUUAUGGGCAAAGAGUUUGACGGCGGAGGACUACCAAGAGCUCUUGACCAUGGUUGGAGGAGAUCUGGCUGUUUUCUUUACAAACCUGAGAUGGAUAGGACAUGUUGCCCAUCUUAUACUAUUCGUCUGAAAGCCAAUACCUUCUAUCCCUCCAAAGACCAAGAUCGUGUAUGCAAAAGAAUUCAAAGGUUCUUAGUUAGAUGGUGCCACAUCAAUAGAUAAAUCUGAUAAUUCAAAACAGAAGGCUAACCCUUGUAAGGGCUCACUCAAGCUGGUCAGCAAAGAAUCUACACCAGAAUUCACAUCAAUACCAACAAAUGAAUCUUCAUCUAGUAUGUGUGAAAAGCUGUCCAGUGAAUCUGCUAUUCUUCAUUCUUUGUCGGACAUUGUUGAUAAAGCCAUGAACAUACUUUUUAGGGAGUAUAUCUCUUCCUGUUGCUCAGCUUCCGAAAGCUAAUGUGAAGAAGUUACA